AACCCCAAGUGGGGUCACAAAGAGUCAGACGUGGCUGAACAACAACAAUAAAUAUUUGUAAGACUGUAUUGAGGGAUGAGAAUAGAGAUGGGGUACACAGGAGGGAUAGUAUGAAGGCAGAAAUGACAGGGUUUGCCAACUGAUUCCUGAUGGAGGGCAAGAGUGACUAGAAGGAUGAUGGUAUGAUUUAUAGUACUGGUGAAGUUAGGAAGAGGGAAGAGUUGGGGAGGGGAAUCAUGUGUUUAGUUUUGGACACAUUGAGUUUUAGAUGUCUACUAGACCUCCUGUUCCAUAUGUCCAAUAGGCAUUUGGAAAUACUCCACUGCAGGCCUCCAAUUCUAGACUGAAGGUCUCUAAUUCCAGACUUGGAGGUCUCCAAUCACAGACUUGGAGAUCUGUUCAAGACUGGAGGUCUCCAACUCUUGGUUUCCUUCAGGUCACAGCUAAAAUCUCACUCAUUACAAGAUGCCUUUCCAGGUCCCCCUUAAUUCUAGGGCCUUCUUUCUGUUGAUUAUCUCAAAUUAAUCCUGUAUUUAUCUUGUUGAUAUAUAGUUAUUCCUAAUUAACAUAGACUAUGAGCUGCCGGUGCAGGCACAGAGUAGACACUUACUAAAUGUUUCUUGACCAAUAAAAAUUUGUUUAAUUUAAUUUUCUAAUUGAAUCGAGAAAGUAGUGGGGGAGAACGGAGGAUGCUGAGAGGAGUUCUGAAGUGUGGAAUAAGGGAGAAGGGGGAGCUUACUGUGAAUGCCUUUAAUUUUCUCAUUGAAGUCAGAGGAAAUUCUUUGCUAAGCAGAAUAAAGGACAGGAACUUAAAAUAAAAAAAGAAGAAACUCACACUUUCACACCCUUCCCCAAAGGCCAUGAUAUCACCCCUACACACACACACACACACACACACACACACACACACACAAAUUCACUUUCCGCAACACUCCACAUUCUAAACAUUCAAUUUCACAAGACACCCUAAACAGAAAAGACAUUCGAUUUUUGAAAAUAUACCCCCACACCAGCCACUAGAUUACAAGAAGCCCACUCCACACACACACAUUUACUUUCACGUGCACCUCCUCCCUCCAUAUACAACGAUACAGACACUCCCUUUCUCGAGCACACCACAACACCGAGCACGCUCCCCUUCCAACACACGCACCCAGGAUAACUCACACACACUUUCGGCCCCGUCCUCCAAGCGGUGGGUGGGGCGGGGCUGCUGCUCCUUCUCAGUUCCCAGGCAACCAGAGCUCUGGGAUCUCCUCGCCAGCAAAGCCAAACAGUCUCAGGAGGGUUCCCUCGACCUCCCUCACCCCAGUCCCAGCACGUCCCGCAGUCCCAGACAAUUCACAGAAGCCGCUUCAAAGCCCACUCGGUCUGGGCGUUCGUGGGUGUAGGAUCCGGGAAGGGGCCGGCGGGGAAGGGGCUUUGGGAGAGACCAUCAGGCACGCUCCAGGAGCCUUUAGUUAGCCCAGGCGGGUGGAGACAGGAUUCAGCAAAUCCCUCCCCUCUCCUCGAGCAAUCCAGUGCUUCGGGGAAGGGGGGGUGAUCAGGGUGGGGCCAGGAAUCCCCACGACCUGGCUGCUGGACAGAGGUGCCCCACGGUGGCCUGCUGGGGGGAGCUCGAUAUUGGGUCCCCUCCCUUGCCUCAGUUCUCGGGAUUGGAGCACACAGUAGGCUCGAGAAAUGCUUCCGCAGCUGGGAACUAAUGCAGUGCAUGGACUCGCAGAAUUUGAGUGGCCUUAGAGGUCGGUUGCUCUAAUUGCUAGUAGUAGGGCCAUUAUCAAAAACGAGGGUGGGGGUUUGAAGGGCAGCAGGGUGCCUUCCUGCUCCAACAUUCUGUGUUCUAAGGGCCCUUUCCGCUCUUCCAUUCUGGGAUCUUAAGACUGCUGUCUACCUCUACAUACCUGCUCCCUGGGUCACGUAGGGAGGAAGUGGCCUAGUGGAGUCGUAGCCCUGGAUUUGGAGUCAAUGACCUGCGUUUAUGUCUUUGCCAACUUACUAGCCCAGGUGACCUUGACUGGGCAAAUCA